rnacentral:rRNA from 1 species
GAUGAACGCUGGCGGCGUGCUUAACACAUGCAAGUCGAACGAAGUGGCGAACGGGUGAGUAACGCGUAAUCAACCUGCCCUUCAGAGGGGGACAACAGUUGGAAACGACUGCUAAUACCGCAUACUGAAGGAGGGGAUUGCGUCUGAUUAGCUAGUUGGAGGGGUAACGGCCCACCAAGGCGAUGAUCAGUAGCCGGUCUGAGAGGAUGAACGGCCACAUUGGGACUGGGACACGGCCCAGACUCCUACGGGAGGCAGCAGUGGGGAAUCUUCCGCAAUGGACGGAAGUCUGACCGAGCAACGCCGCGUGAGUGAAGAAGGUUUUCGGAUCGUAAAGCUCUGUUGUUAGAGAAGCGGUAACUAACCAGAAAGGGACGGCUAACUACGUGCCAGCAGCCGCGGUAAUAC